GUUUGUGAUAAUAGGGUCAAAAAUUGUUAUGGGCAUGGAAGAGGGGUGACAGCGAAAGGUGCCCUAUUGGAAAUAAUCAUUUGAAUUCUAAUAUUAAAACUAAAAUUACUGAACUAAAUACUUACUCUUCUCUAGGCCUCAAGAGAAAGGUUGCAGUGAAAACACUACCAAAUAUUAAAGAAAAUGUUGAAGUCACCAAAGUGAGCUAUUCACGCUACCAAAGGUCUGUUAGAACUCAUUCAGAUACCCCGUUAUUAACACUUGCUAAUCCUUUAUAUCGGUUUGCCUGCAUGAGAUGUCUCUUGGAGAUACGCAGUCUGAAUUCUCAGUAAACUGAUGUUUGUCAGAGUAUUUGUUGGCACCUCAUAAAGACAUUUUGUAGUUUUUGUUGCCUUCGUCUCAAACUGUAGCUCUGUGUAUUGAGUUUAGCUCUGUUCUUCAUGGCAGUCAUCAAGUGAAUGCCCAAGAAACAACAGACUUGGAAAAAAAAGUGAAAGUAGAAGAAAGCACUGAACUGCUGAAGGAAUCCCUGAUAAUCAACUUUGAAAGUAAAGAAAGUUUGAAAAAUACUGAAGUGACUUCAAGUGCAGGAAUGACUCUUCCCACGGGUGUUUCAACCUUUCUGCUAGAGUGUUUAGAUGUAGGUUCAACUGCAGAUUAUAACACAGGUACUAGUGACAGCCUGAACAGUUGCUCAUCCCCUGAAACAUUCAGAGAUGAUGGUCCAGGUGAGACUUCUGUUUUUUUGGGCUUUAUUUGAUGUAGAAAAUGUGGGGGAACCAUCUACAAUAGAAGGCCUGGUGGCCUCUCUUGGUGUGACUCACCAGGUCAGAUCUUUGCUGGGAGUCAGCCUGUGCUUAGCAGGGGAUCUGUGUAUCUGGUCCUCCAGUCCAGCGUGAAUCAGGCCCUGGUGUACUUUGGAUCAUGCUGUAAACUUCAAGCCUUCACUGUUGACAUAAGCUGGUUUUGGAGGAUGACCAGCAAAUCUGCUUGAGUCUCAUUCCUCCCAAAUUUUUCUGUGGCUGUUUGAGCCAAGGCAAUGCUUUCAGUUUGCAUUAAAGUUCCUGUCUUGCAAACGUGAUUGUGUUUGCUCACAAAUUUAAUAACACAAUGAAUUCCAGCGUAAGCAGCUUGCAGUUUUAUGUCCAGGAAGAAGUAAUUUUUACGCUGAGGACUCUGUGAUGUGCAAGAACUCUACUCUCCUGGACUCCAGCAAAGCAGUGUCCAUAGAUAAGAUACCACAGAUCUCAAAUCUUUCAGCAAUAUUAGGUAAUCAUUUUCUACAAUACUUCAGAAUAUAUACAUAAACAAAUUGCACUCUAGUGCAAGGAACCUGUAUAAAAUAUGCGAUAAUCAUUUCAUUCAUGGCUUGUCUGCAUAAUGAGCAACAGCUCCCUGUUAGUGGUUUGUAUUUGCUUCUAAUAUUUUGCUUUAUAAUUUAGUGUGCACUAAAACAUUGUCUGGUCUGCUUAGCUUUUUUUUUUUUUAAAGCUUAGCUUUUAUGUUUUUUAGAACCUGCACUGGGGAAUUUACAAGACCAACACAUUCAAAGGUAAUCUGCAAAGCAGACACUUUGAUGCACUUUAAUGUUC
ensembl:lncRNA